rnacentral:rRNA from 1 species
UACGUAGGGCGCAAGCGUUAUCCGGAAUUAUUGGGCGUAAAGAGCUCGUAGGCGGUUUGUCGCGUCUGCCGUGAAAGUCCGGGGCUCAACUCCGGAUCUGCGGUGGGUACGGGCAGACUAGAGUGAUGUAGGGGAGACUGGAAUUCCUGGUGUAGCGGUGAAAUGCGCAGAUAUCAGGAGGAACACCGAUGGCGAAGGCAGGUCUCUGGGGCAUUAACUGACGCUGAGGAGCGAAAGCAUGGGGAGCGAACAGG